ACCGGAGCUAAUACCGGAUAAUAUAUUGAACCGCAUGGUUCAAUAGUUAAAGACGGUUUUGCUGUCACUUAUAGAUGGAUCCGCGCCGCAUUAGCUAGUUGGUAAGGUAACGGCUUACCAAGGCAACGAUGCGUAGCCGACCUUAGAGGGUGAUCGGCCACACUGGAACUGAGACACGGUCCAG
rnacentral:rRNA from 1 species